CCUACGGGAGGCAGCAGUGAGGAAUAUUGGUCAAUGGGCGGGAGCCUGAACCAGCCAAGUCGCGUGAGGGAAGACGGUCCUAUGGAUUGUAAACCUCUUUAGGCGGGGAGCAAUGCCAGGCACGCGUGCCCGGAGGGAGAGUACCCGCAGAAUAAGCAUCGGCUAACUCCGUGCCAGCAGCCGCGGUAAUACGGAGGAUGCGAGCGUUAUCCGGAGUUAUUGGGUUUAAAGGGUGCGUAGGCGGAUUUUUAAGUCAGCGGUAAAAUGUCCGGGCUUAACCCGGGCCGGCCGUUGAAACUGGGGAUCUUGAGUGGGCGAGAAGUAUGCGGAAUGCGUGGUGUAGCGGUGAAAUGCAUAGAUAUCACGCAGAACUCCGAUUGCGAAGGCAGCAUACCGGCGCCCGACUGACGCUGAUGCUCGAAAGUGUGGGUAUCAAACAGGAUUAGAUACCCCAGUAGUC
rnacentral:rRNA from 1 species